GGCCCUGGCAAUCUCUGCACUUUGUCAUCACGCCCGAGUAUUUGACAUUCGCAAUUAUCUGCAAAUACCCUGAUCAGUUUGUAUAUGAAACACUUUUUUUCCUGCCUUAAGGUUGGAAUCUGACAACAUCACUCAAACAACCCUAUUACUUCAGUAGCAAUGAACUGUCUCUGGAUUUUAUUAAGCAUCUCACUAGUUCCUUUUCUUCAGCUGUAUGGCACCCUGUCUUCCUGUACACCAGAGGCUCCUCAGCUGGGUAAGGUGAGCCAACGUUACCAGGAGUAUAUGCUGAGAGGCCAUUUCAAAGUCUUUCAUAGAAGGCUGUGCUUGGGCAAGUAGAACUUUUCAUCAUACAGUCCCAGAGAUGUGAAGUUAUCAAGGUCAGAGAAGAGGAAAAGAGACUCAGAGAAACUGUGUUCUCUAGUCUUUCAUUCGGGAACAAAUGGUGUCGUACCAAAUGGCUGAAAAGAUCCCAGGCUUACUCUGAGAAACAUCUCUCUCUUCUGAAUUAAACUUGCACAGUGGCUAA
rnacentral:lncRNA from 1 species